UGACAUUCCUAAACAAUUGUUGAAGAUCAACUUGUACUUUCCUCUUCAAUUCUUCAUCAUAAAGAGAAAUCACUCUUUUGAUUGGAUCACCAUAAUUUGAUUAUCCAAAUGCCAUAAUUUCUUUCAUUUACUUGUAUAUGAUUUUCUUUUUCUUCAAGCUUCCGCUCUAAACAUGGAUGUGAUUGUGAUCAAACGAGCAAACGAUCAUGGAUGACUGGGGUAUGAUUUUGACGAUCGUCUUGUUUUCCCCUUACCGUUUCGAGUUCGUAGUGCUAAUGAAGAUGAAUACUACUUCUGCUACAAGAUGUUGGUUGAUGAAUUGGAGGAGCUCAUAUCAGGAUGAUGUUGGUUGAUGAAUUGGAGGAGCUCAUAUCAGGGUAGGAUCCUGAGAAAAGUGCUUAAAGGUAUAUUACCUUUAUCUAGCUAUUCUCAUGAGUUCGCAUUUGUUAUACACAUUUUGCACCAUGUACCAUUUGUCCAUUUGUUUUUUUG